rnacentral:lncRNA from 1 species
GAGGCCCGAAGGAUGGUAGGUAUUUAUUUGUUAGGUGGGGAAUGGAGGACCUUGGCAGAGGUGUCAUGUUCUGGUAAUUUAUUUUAAGAUUUGUUCUACUGAGUGGGGCCAGAGCAGAGCAGGCUAACUAGGGAUGAGGUGUGGCACAUGCCUGGAGAGAGAGAGCAGGAGCUAAGGAGAGACUUAGGUUUUCUAGACUUAAGUUCUGUAGUUGAAAACCUCAUACAGAUCUGGAUGUGGGUAGAGGAGGAGGUUCAAAAUGCUUCCUGCUUAUGGUCUUGGCAACUGGGUAGGUGAAAAAGACUGAUAGGAAGAGCAUAACUGAGGGAUUUAGAGCCAGGACACCUGGGACCAAGGGCAGUGUGAGCUACUAACACAGACUUUUCGAGUGAUAGCAGAACUGGG